GGUUGGAGGGGCACCUGCCUUCUCAUUAGCUGGCCUAACGAGCCUGCACCCCAUGGACCCCAUCUCAAUGAAUUAUCAGCUGCUAAUCAAAGGGACAAUUGCCAAAACCACCCCACUACAUCGUGGGAGGGAGCGAGUGGGAGACUCCACCCCACCCCAGCCUCCAGGGACACCUCAGAUGUGAUUAAGUACAUAUCCUGAGACAGACAGAGGUAGACCAUGACUCAGGGACCCAGGACUGCUCCACAGGUGACACAGCUCCUGACACCCAGCCAGCUCAUGGGAGCAGAGAGCCCAUAGGAAGGCUGGGCUCCGAGGCUGCUCCUGGCUGCACUCGCUCUCCCGGCUGACCUCCAGGAGACUCCUCGGACACCUCGUGACCCUCACCUGCUCUCAGGGGCCCAGGCCUGGCCACGUGCACAUCUCAUACCCUGGCCGCCGCCUUCGGUUCAGGGCUGGACACAGGCCCCGAGUCAGAGAGGUGAGACGCUGUCGCGGACGUCUGCCCGGACUCUGAUCACGUGGAGGGCCUGCUUUCUCCGGGGCUGGAAGCUGCAGGACGCCUGCCCGCGCUCAGUAACCGCGCCCGCUCAGGUCCAGGGAGACAGUCUGUGCGCAGAGAUGGGAGGGGCGGCCUCAGGCUGCUGUCCGAGCUCGGUCACCCCAAGGAUGCUCUGCCCGGGACUGUCAGUUACAGAAGACGGCGCUCGCUCUCUGCGCUCACCUAGUGUGUGAUGAGAUCCUGUGACUUGUGACCAAAACCUCUGGACACUUGACCGUUGUUAACAUUGAACAAUAACACAGUUUUAUAUGAGCUGAGAAGGAGGAACUGAGGCCAAAGCAAGGAAGAAAAGCCCUCCCUGUCCCCACACCCCCUCGGGCCCCUCCCCUCUGAUGUCACUCUUCCUGCAGGGACAGCGGGGACAAGAGACGCCUCUUCCUCCAGAU
ensembl:lncRNA